ensembl:antisense Gm16287 predicted gene 16287
ACACUGACUUCUUCUGAAGACAGAAAACUGUGGUUUGUAGUAAAAGAGGCCGUCUUGACUCAGAGCUUCUCCCACCGUUCAGCAUCCUGACAGAGCAUGGAGCCAUGAAGGGGAGGAGGCCAGAGCACUGGCCACCCAUCUGUGUAAUACAGCCCGAGGCUGCGGCGCCAAGACGAUCCUUCAUUCUGAGGCAUGGUGGUACAUGACUGGAAGCCUGGCACUCACGAGGCAGAGGUACAAAAGCCUAAAGCCAUCCUCUGCUACAUAGGGAGUUUGGGGCCAGCCUGGCGCACAUGAAAUGUUGGCAAAUAUGGAGAAGCAGCUAUGAACAUCUGGGCCAGCUGUUCUGCGCAGGUGAAAUGAGUCACUGUACUGGUUCGUUUUGUCACCUUUGACAGACACAAGCUGGGGUCAUCUGGGAAGACAGAACCUCAGUUGAGAAAAUGCCUCCCACCCCCAUCAGGUUGGCCUGUAGACAAACCCCAUAGAUCAUCAUCUUAUUUAAUGACUGGUGUGAGAGGGCCCCGACUCAUGGUGGGUGGUGCCAUCCAUAGGCAGGCAGCCCUGUAGUGCUUUAAGAAAUCAGACUGAGCCAGCCACAAGGAGUGAGGCAGUAGACAGUGUUCCUUCAUCGCUUCUGUUUCAGUUCCUGUCAUCCCUGAAUGCCCUCAGGGAUGGGCUGUAAGCUGAAAUAAACCCCUUUCUCCCCAACAUACUUUUGGUCAUGGUGUUUACCACAGUCAAUAGAAAGCAUAGUAGGUAGCCGGGCGUGGUGGCGCACGCCUUUAAUCCCAGCACUCGGGAGGCAGAGGCAGGCGGAUUUCUGAGUUCGAGGCCAGCCUAGUGAGUUCCAGAACAGCCAGGGCUACACAGAGAAACUGUGUCUCAACCUCCCCACCCCCCAAAAAAAUCUAAGGACAUGGGUAUGACAUAGUGACUGAGCCUGUGUCAUCAGUGUUCCUGGGCAGCUUAAGCCUGUUAGACAGGUUGGUAAACAGCUUGGCAGUUAGAGGACCCCACUACUCUUGCAGAGGACCUGGGUUUGUUUCCCAGCACCCAGGUCAGGAAGCUCACAACCACCUCUUAACUCCAGCUCCUGCAGAUCUGGUGUCCCCUUGUGGUCUCCUCAGAUAGCCACAACUCCACUAGCAGUGUAUGAGAAUGCUAUAAUAACAGCAAUAACUAUUACUACUCUACUUCCUGGCCAAGAAAAUGAUUGUGGGGGGAAAAAGAUGAUAAGUAUUUGCUAAAGGCCAUCCCACGCCAGCUGUGUUUAUUUGUUGAACUCCAUCUCCAUGUCUGUGGACCAAACAGCCAGGUCCUUUAGAUCUGUAGUUUAUAUAGUGCAUCUUUCAACACCCUGAAACCUUGACCCAAGUUGUAGCCGAAGGAAAGAGGGUUUCUGGUAAAUACGGUUUCCAGUCAGGAGCCCCAAGCCAAGUCUCCCCACCCCUCCUCUUCCUGGAGUGGACCACCUCUGUGGUUGGAACCGCUGGCAAUCCAUCAAAAAGGGAGGUUGGUUGACUUGGAGCUGAGACUGUAAGUGCUUAUAAGAAAUGAAAGACAUGGUUUGGGGUGAAAAAGUCAUGCUUCCGGGUACAAAGGCAAAGCCACUAAUAACCCAAGGAUUCGGCGUUCCAUCUGACCUGCUCUGAUACGGUCACUAUGGUGACAGUCUCCAUAAACAGCCUCAACAUAACCAAACGAAAGGAAACAAAACAAAACAAAACAGAAAAAGGAAGGAGAACUUCCACCCCGGUGACCUGGAGGUAUUUUAGGGAUCAAGGCAAUGUUGUAUGGGGUAAAUAUUGAACGAAGAAUCUGUUCUUUUAAUAACCGGUCCUCCCUCCCUCUUGGGAGUCUGAACAAAGGCUCGGCAGAUCACAGAAAGAAGCCCCAGCCCAGUGUCUUCAGGGUUCAGAAAGUGCAGCCAAGAGAACGGAAACAAAUGGGUACGGACAGACGUUCAAAUUCUUCUCACACCCUCCGCCUGGGACACUCAAGCCGAGCCUUCUGUGGAGUCCAAGGGUGGAACAAGGCUCAUGUUCUCUGGAAAAGAGGCUGGGCCUUGGGCUCCAGGGAUCUGAACUUGGUUCCCCGUCCCUGACCUUGAUUCCUGAGCCAGCAGCAGUGAUGGAGGGAAGCAUCUUUAAGCCACACCAAGUCUCUGGGGGCAUCUGCAUCUGCUGCAAAUUCCUCUGCCACUCCCAGCCUCGUGCUACUCUCUUUGAAUCCCUGACUCAGCGAGCUGCAGUCCAAAGAGCAGAACUAACUGUGUUAUUCCUUCUUCUUCUUCUUUUUUUUAAUGCCAA